rfam:Absidia glauca strain CBS 101.48 genome assembly, contig: contig_9
GACCCCAUGGUCAAAUGGCUAAGACAUCAUAACUUCACUAUGGAAUUAUCGGUUCGAUUCCGAUUGGGGUUA